ensembl:misc_RNA Metazoa_SRP Metazoan signal recognition particle RNA
GCCAGAUGAGGUGGCGCACACCUGUCAUCACAGCUACUGGGAAGUCUGAGACAGGAGGAUCUCUUGAGUCCUGGAGUUCUAGGCUGUAGUGUGCUGUGCAGAUCAGGUGUUUGCAUUAAGUUCAGCAUCAAUAUGAUGACCUCCCAGAAGCCAGGACCACCAGGUUGUCUAAGGAAGAGCAAACGGAGCAUGUCAAAACUCUCAUGCUGAUCGGUAGUGGGAUUGUGCCUGUGAAUGGCCACUGUACUCCAGACUGGGCAACAUAGCAAGGACACA